UACGUAGGUGGCAAGCGUUGUCCGGAUUUACUGGGCGUAAAGAGCGCGCAGGCGGUCGUUCAAGUCGCGUGUGAAAGCCCCCGGCUCAACUGGGGAGGGUCAUUCGAUACUGGCCGACUCGAAGGCAGGAGAGGUGAGUGGAACUGCGAGUGUAGAGGUGAAAUUCGUAGAUAUUCGCAAGAACACCAGUGGCGAAGGCGGCUCACUGGCCCGAUACUGACGCUGAGGCACGAAAGCGUGGGGAGCAAACAGG
rnacentral:rRNA from 1 species